rnacentral:rRNA from 1 species
AUUGAACGCUGGCGGCAGGCCUAACACAUGCAAGUCGAGCGGAUGAAGGGAGCUUGCUCCUGGAUGCAGCGGCGGACGGGUGAGUAAUGCCUAGGAAUCUGCCUGGUAGUGGGGGAUAACGUCCGGAAACGGGCGCGAAUACCGCAUACGUCCUGAGGGAGAAAGAGGGUGAUCUGCGGACCUGACGCUAUCAGAUGAGCCUAGGUCGGCUUAGCUAGUUGGUUGGUGAAAGGCCUACCAAGGCGACGAUCCGUAACUGGUCGGAGAGGAUGAUCAGUCACACUGGAACUGGGACACGGUCCAGACUCCUGCGGGAGGCAGCAGUGGGGAAUAUUGGACAGUGGGCGAAAGUAUGAUCCAGCCGUGGCGCGUGUGUGACGAAGGUCUUCGGAUUGUAAAGAACUUUAAGUUGGGAGGAAGCGCAGUAAGUUAAUAACUUGCUGUUUUGACGUUACCAGCAGAAUAAGCACCGGCUAACUUCGUG